GUGGGGAAUUUUGGACAAUGGGCGCAAGCCUGAUCCAGCCAUACCGCGUGAGUGAAGAAGGCCUUCGGGUUGUAAAGCUCUUUCAGCCGGAAAGAAAUCGUGCUUAUUAAUACUAAGUAUGGAUGACGGUACCGGAAGAAGAAGCACCGGCUAACUACGUGCCAGCAGCCGCGGUAAUACGUAGGGUGCGAGCGUUAAUCGGAAUUACUGGGCGUAAAGCGUGCGCAGGCGGUUUUUUAAGCCAGAUGUGAAAUCCCCGGGCUCAACCUGGGAACUGCAUUUGGAACUGGAAGACUAGAGUGUAGCAGAGGGGGGUAGAAUUCCACGUGUAGCAGUGAAAUGCGUAGAUAUGUGGAGGAAUACCAAUGGCGAAGGCAGCCCCCUGGGUUAACACUGACGCUCAUGCACGAAAGCGUGGGGAGCAAACAGGAUUAGAAACCCGAGUAGUCC
rnacentral:rRNA from 1 species